rnacentral:rRNA from 1 species
ACGAACGCUGGCGGCGUGGAUAAGACAUGCAAGUCGAACGGGAGAAUUGCUAGCUUGCUAAUAAUUCUCUAGUGGCGCACGGGUGAGUAACACGUGAGUAACCUGCCUCUUAGUGGGGGAUAGCCCUGGGAAACCGGGAUUAAUACCGCAUACGAUUGAAAGAUCAAAGCAGCAAUGCGCUAGGAGAUGGGCUCGCGGCCUAUUAGUUAGUUGGUGAGGUAACGGCUCACCAAGGCGAUGACGGGUAGCCGGUCUGAGAGGAUGUCCGGCCACACUGGAACUGAGACACGGUCCAGACACCUACGGGUGGCAGCAGUCGAGAAUCAUUCACAAUGGGGGCAACCCUGAUGGUGCGACGCCGCGUGGGGGAAUGAAGGUCUUCGGAUUGUAAACCCCUGUCAUGUGGGAGCAAAUUAAAAAGAUAGUACCACAAGAGGAAGAGACGGCUAACUCUGUGCCAGCAGCCGCGGUAAUACAGAGGUCUCAAGCGUUGUUCGGAAUCACUGGGCGUAAAGCGUGCGUAGGCUGUUUCGUAAGUCGUGUGUGAAAGGCAGUGGCUCAACCCCUGGAUUGCACAUGAUACUGCGAGACUAGAGUAAUGGAGGGGGAACCGGAAUUCUCGGUGUAGCAGUGAAAUGCGUAGAUAUCGAGAGGAACACUCGUGGCGAAGGCGGGUUCCUGGACAUUAACUGACGCUGAGGCACGAAGGCCAGGGGAGCGAAAGGGAUUAGAUACCCCUGUAGUCCUGGCAGUAAACGGUGCACGCUUGGUGUGCGGGGAAUCGACCCCCUGCGUGCCGGAGCUAACGCGUUAAGCGUGCCGCCUGGGGAGUACGGUCGCAAGAUUAAAACUCAAAGAAAUUGACGGGGACCCGCACAAGCGGUGGAGUAUGUGGCUUAAUUCGAUGCAACGCGAAGAACCUUACCUGGGCUUGACAUGUAAUGAACAACAUGUGAAAGCAUGCGACUCUUCGGAGGCGUUACACAGGUGCUGCAUGGCCGUCGUCAGCUCGUGUCGUGAGAUGUUUGGUUAAGUCCAGCAACGAGCGCAACCCCUGUUGCCAGUUACCAGCACGUCAAGGUGGGGACUCUGGCGAGACUGCCCAGAUCAACUGGGAGGAAGGUGGGGACGACGUCAGGUCAGUAUGGCCCUUAUGCCCAGGGCUGCACACGUACUACAAUGCCCAGUACAGAGGGGGCCGAAGCCGCGAGGCGGAGGAAAUCCUGAAAACUGGGCCCAGUUCGGACUGUAGGCUGCAACCCGCCUACACGAAGCCGGAAUCGCUAGUAAUGGCGCAUCAGCUACGGCGCCGUGAAUACGUUCCCGGGUCUUGUACACACCGCCCGUCACAUCAUGGAAGCCGGUCGCACCCGAAGUAUCUGAAGCCAACCGCAAGGAGGCAGGGUCCUAAGGUGAGACUGGUAACUGGGAUG